UGAAACCAGUGUUUGGUUUGUCCGUUCUGGGUUACUGUGAGACAUGGCGGCUGGCUCCAGGAAGAGGAGCCACUCCCUAAGUAGAUAUAAACAGCUCAUUCUAAGGUAACGAAAACACAGUUCUUAUUUCCAGAUGAUUAUACACUAAAGAAAAUAUACUUAUUAAUAUUAUAUUCCAUUGCUGCCAAUAGAUCCCCCUAAAUGUUACACACUGUUCCUUUAAAGCUGAAUAAAUUGCUUACACUGGACACUGUCUGCUUCUGGAAAGCAUCGUCAUUAUUCUCACAGUAAACUCUGUGUUCUUCACACUUGUUCUCUUCAUGACUUCACCAUAUUUCGUGGUUGGUGGCCAAAUUUGUCUGCCACACUCACAACUCUUUUGAUGUGGUGGCUUCAUACUAUGGCUGUUUCAUAUUAAGAACAAACACAUCACGGCGAACACAAGAGCACAUAGUGGGUCGUGAAUGCAAUCAGCACCGUGAAAUGGAAAUCCAAAUGACCGCAGGCUGAAGGGCAGCAGCACUGCUUCACCACUUGUGUCAAUAAACUUAUGGUUUAACUAGCAGAGUAGAGGAAAACACGGCAGACAAGAAGACAUCGGCUUGUAGAUAGAAACGUGCGAAAUCUGCAGAUUGCAUGUGUGUUGGUGUCUUACAGCAUGUCAGGACAGCUCUGUGGUUUCUCCAGCAGCCCUCCCUCCAUGACGAAGCGGAGCACCUGCUCAUUGGACAGACCUUGGUAGGGCUGUUCUGACAGUGUGGCGAUUUCCCACAGUACGACCCCGAACGACCUGCACAGAGGGAGAGAGGUUCCUGGCCGCCAGAUCUCUGUGGACGAACUUAUUGGCGUUGAGGUAAGCCAUGCCGUCGGCGAUCUGCCCGGCCAUCUGAAGCAUCUUCUUCAGAGGAGGGAGAGACAGGCUCGACCACUGUUGCUGGAGACAGACAGACGGAUGGGAGAGGGUAAGUUCUCAGAAGAAGAACAAGAUUCUGUAGCUGAGCCGCAGAGUCAACAUGAGCAGAUAGCCAACUGGAUGCAGAAUUGAACCAAAGUGUAUUACACCAGUGGGAUCGGGAGUAAGCCGGGUGUGUUUUUCCCCCCAUGAAUGCACCGAUACAAAGGAGUGAUGCAGUGACAGUGACAGUGACAGUGACAGUGACAGUGACGGUGUGUGUGUCUUACGUUCAGCCACGUAGAGAUCCAGAGCGUGCGUCCAGGAGCCGUUGCCGGCCAGUGACGUGGCUCUUACGCUGACCGAGUAGUUUCCUGGACUGAGGUUGGACAGCCGAACGCCACGCUGGGCUUGAUACAUCAGACCAGAGACACAUUCGUGCUUCUCGGUCUGACACACACACACACAGACACAGACAAAAAGA